AAUUUUGGACAAUGGGGGAAACCCUGAUCCAGCCAUCUCGCGUGUAUGAUGAAGGCCUUCGGGUUGUAAAGUACUUUUGGUAGAGAAGAUAAGGUAUCUCCUAAUACGAGAUAAUGCUGACGGAAUCUGCAGAUUAAGUACCGGCUAACUACGAGCGAGCAGCCGCGGUAAGACGUAGGGUGCAAGCGUUAAUCGGAAUUACUGGGCGUAAAGCGUGUGUAGGCGGUUCGGAAAGAGAGAUGUGAAAUCCCAGGGCUCAACCUUGGAACUGCAUUUUUAACUGCCGAGCUAGAGUAUGUCAGAGGGGGGUAGAAUUCCACGUGUAGCAGUGAAAUGCGUAGAUAUGUGGAGGAAUACCGAUGGCGAAGGCAGCCCCCUGGGAUAAUACUGACGCUCAGACACGAAAGCGUGGGGAGCAAACA
rnacentral:rRNA from 1 species